AAUCAAAUACCUUCAGAGUUAGAAAGAAUUCAAACGACAUUUUAUAGGCCGAGGCCCAAGUCGCUAAAGAAUCAAGUCACGUAUUUAUACGAGUGUCAUGUUUUCGUUUACUAUUGACUCUCUUGCUCUUAUGUGUAUUAUGCAUAAUGUAGUGUUCCUAUAGUGAAAAAAGAAAAGAAAUGACGUGGAUAUCUUGCAGUGCGUUGACACCGAAGAACGAAACGAGUUUCCCAGGUGGAUCUUGAUUCCCAACUUUGGUACAAAUCUUUGCAAACUCGAUGUGAAUGUUCCUUUUAAAUGCUACUGAACGCAAAGAGUUGCUUACGAAAUGGAGGAAAUAAAUCAGCGUCAAAGAUUGUUCUGAAACGAUGGUAGAAAAAACUGCUUAUUAGCGCCAAUCAAAUCACGUUUGUAAACAUUUUUGAUAGAUGGCGUCGAAUUUUAAAGAGCACAAUCUGACAACAAUGCAUGCAGACUUCAAAGUAAUUUCAAGAUGGAAAAAACAGCACAAGAGAGCUCUUCAAUUCUGUGUUUUUUUUGUAAUUAAACUGUUAAAACUGUGACAGUUUAAAUUGGGAUUCGAGAAUUGCUGCAUUUCAAACAUCAUGCCCACUUUUUUGAACAUUAACAAACGACGGAGUCACGGAUUUCUGUUCGUUUGGACACGUUCUAUCAAUUGGAAGGGGCCAAGGGGGUGGGCAGCCAUUUUAUCUAGUGUCAUCUGGUGGUAGAUUUAGGUAGGUGUUAUUAUAUACAAGUCUAUUCGUCUGACAUUCGUUAAACUGACACUGGAAGACAAUAAGAGUUAGUGAAAUGCCUAGAAAACAGAUGUACGACAAGAUUCAAAAAUUGAAUAAUUUAGUUUACGAUUGCGUGGAGCUGAGGUGAAAUAUUACUCACUUAGACUAGUUAGACCGAUGACAUUGAGCUGAACUGAAAGGUGAAAGCAACCCAGCCGUUCCGGCCAGUCGUUCAUGCUUUUGGGGAUUUAAAAAAAAUUAAACAAAAAACUGAUUAUCUCCAAUCCAACAGAUUAUCUGUUGAAGUUGUGAUUACAUGGAAUUUUGAGAAUUUGUUGUUGGCAGCAGUUUGAUUAUUCAUUGUUUACUUUUUAUUUUGAUUUAUAGACUGAAUGGGGCCACCUGGUUUUAUUUCCAAAAACAUGGUCGACAGAGCUCUUUGUUUGUUAAACUGUUGGCUGUUACUCUGAAUUCCCUCUUUGACUUCAGGCCUGCUCUUGAUUUGAGGUUAAUCCUGUGAAGCUAUUCAAUGGACUGAAUCCAUUGAACCUAACGAAAGAUUAGAGGCGACUUACUGACAGUCUUUCAUUCAGCAAUACUGCUCACUUGCGUGCCGUCCUCUUUCGUCGCUCCGAGGUAUGGGGGAGUUGAGCCUGCUCCAGCACCGCGUCCAGCAUCAUUCGACUACUCAACCGACUUGUACUACCCCUGCCCUCAACACAGCACAGCAUUUUUAUCUUCAGAUUGUUUGGCCGGUGUUCGAUGUGAUGGCGUUUUCUGUAGGACGAAGAGAUUGUGAUUUUGGAGACGAGAAUAUAACCCAUUUAGGUAAUGACCGAGAAGAUGCGGCCUACAUGAACAUCAUUUAGGCGACCAGCAUCAUUCGACUACUCAACCGGCUUCUACUACCCUGCUCUCAACACAGCACUGAGUUUUACCCUUUAGAGUUUUGGCUGUUCGCGAUGUGUGGUGGCGUUUCCUUGGACGAGAUGAUGAUUUUAGCGAGAAAAAUAUUGCGUUCUAACCUUCGGUUUCCUAAAUGUGCAUGACAGACUUUAUGAAAAGUAAUGUUUUUUUUCAAGAAAGUCGACAAGGUCCCUUGUUUGCUAACCCAAUGGCUACAUCUCCCUAUUUAGCUCCUUAAACAGUCCCU